rnacentral:rRNA from 1 species
GAGCGAACGCUGGCGGCAGGCUUAACACAUGCAAGUCGAACGCACCCUUCGGGGUGAGUGGCAGACGGGUGAGUAACGCGUGGGAACGUGCCCUUCGGUUCGGGAUAACCCGGGGAAACUCGGGCUAAUACCGGAUACGUCCGUGAGGAGAAAGGUUUACUGCCGAAGGAUCGGCCCGCGUCUGAUUAGCUAGUUGGUGGGGUAAUGGCCUACCAAGGCGACGAUCAGUAGCUGGUCUGAGAGGAUGAUCAGCCACACUGGGACUGAGACACGGCCCAGACUCCUACGGGAGGCAGCAGUGGGGAAUAUUGGACAAUGGGGGCAACCCUGAUCCAGCCAUGCCGCGUGAGUGAUGAAGGCCUUAGGGUUGUAAAGCUCUUUUAUCCGGGACGAUAAUGACGGUACCGGAAGAAUAAGCCCCGGCUAACUUCGU